GACGAACGCUGGCGGCGUGCUUAACACAUGCAAGUCGAACGAAGUGGCGAACGGGUGAGUAAUACGUGAGUAACUGCCCUCCUUUUUGGGAUAAGCCUUGGAAACGGCUGCUAAUACCGGAUAGUGGGGGAUGCCUCGCGUCCUAUCAGCUUGUUGGUGGGGUAGUGGCCUACCACGGCGACGACGGGUAGCCGGCCUGAGAGGGCGACCGGCCACAUUGGGCUGAGAUACGGCCCAAACGCCUACGGGAGGCAGCAGUGGGGAAUAUUGCGCAGUGGGGGAGACCCUGAUGCAGCAACGCCGCGUGCGGGAUGACGGCCUUCGGGUUAUAAACCGCUUUCAGCCAUGACGCGGUAGUGGCAGAAGAAGCACCGGCUAACUACGUGCCAGCCGCCGCGGUAAUUC
rnacentral:rRNA from 1 species